CCAUAAAUAUUUAUAUGUACAAGUUACAUAGAAUAUAUAUGGGGUAGCGGAACAUUGGGCAUAUCUCAGAUUUUUUCUUUUUAAGACUUAAGAUUAGAUUACCCAAGUGAUAAUGCUGACAUGAGUAACGAUAAAGGGUUUAUACCCUCGCCUAAAGCUUAUGGAAUUUACUUAAAGUAACGGCCUCUAAGUUUAAGUCUGCUAACUUGUAAUAACUAGUACCUGGUUGUUGAUACAAGUAAGUAAACAUCCUAAAGGUAUAAACGAUGAGAAAAUAAAAACUUAGUUUUACAGAUAAAAAUAUAAGCCUAUAAGGUGAACAAUUUUAAAUAGGUUUUAUCUAUAUAAGGUACUAGAUAACUAAAAUAUAAUUAUAUAUAUUAUAAAAAUAGCAUUUUGUAACAAACGGUGUUGAUGUAAUAAUUGCUUAUCAUCAUCUUUUAGAUGAAGUGAAGUAAUUGUUAUAUAAAAAGCAAUCAAUAAGUUGUCACUCACAAAGUGAGAAAUGCUCUGGAAAAAUGCAAAACUUUGUCGUGAUUUAUACCUGAGAUAGUUAUAUAUAAGGCGGAUCGUCCCUUGUAUAUGCCUAUUAAGGCUAAUAGUC
rnacentral:rRNA from 1 species